rnacentral:piRNA from 1 species
UGUAAACACCCCCAACUGCGCUGCUCUGU